CGACUUUUCUCUCGUUUUUUCAAGCUCAAUGUUGCUUUGACGGGUCUAUAAAGUAUGGUCCGUUGUAAAAUUAAGGCAUAGAACCUCGAUGUUUUCACACCAACCUGGUUUAUUUGAAGGAAUAUAAUCAAUUUCGUUCUUAUGUUUGCCGCAUGGUGAUCGCCAGGUUCAUUUGCGGCUGUUUUUUUUCUUAAAACACAUAUUAAGUAUUGUGAGUUUAUUUUCAAGGGCAAAGUCGAUUAGUAUUUGCCCUCUUUGGUUUCGUUCGCCGUAGGGUAGAUCGGGGACAAUAGAAACACGUCAUGAUUGAAACAAGUCAAAUUUCUCGAAAACUAUAAUACCUACGCGUCUGACGUAACACUCGGAACACGCGGUCGGCCAUGUUUGAAUCCUUGGCCAGUAGCGCUCGAGCGCCGGUGCGAGACGGGAGUGUCCACGAGCCAAACCAGUUUUUCGCGGUAAAAAAUGCCCCGAAAACGGAAGCAUGUUACGGAGAGAACCUCAAAAAGCAUGUUUGCCUAUCAACAGGCUUAUGAGGAAGUGAUCUCUGGAAAGUCCUUAAGAAAAGCGGCCCAAAUGUUUGAUGUCUCUUUGGCGAGAUACAAAAAAAAAGAGAAGCUGCGCCAGAUACGACACCCAUAGAAGAUAUAAAAAUGGGUUACAAUUCUGUAAAAAAAGUGUUUUCAACUGCUCAAGAAGAGGAGAUUGCUGAAUAUGCAAUAAAGUCAGCCGAUAUUUACUAUUACUACUAGAGUUAAGGAUUUCUUUUGAUAGGCAUAUCGCCAUGUUUUUGUUUACGUAAUAAAACAAUUUAUACUGAUUAUUUUA